GACGAACGCUGGCGGCGUGCUUAACACAUGCAAGUCGAACGGAAAGGCCCUGCUUUUGUGGGGUGCUCGAGUGGCGAACGGGUGAGUAACACGUGAGUAACCUGCCCUUGACUUUGGGAUAACUUCAGGAAACUGGGGCUAAUACCGGAUAGGAGCUCCUGCUGCAUGGUGGGGGUUGGAAAGUUUCGGCGGUUGGGGAUGGACUCGCGGCUUAUCAGCUUGUUGGUGGGGUAGUGGCUUACCAAGGCUUUGACGGGUAGCCGGCCUGAGAGGGUGACCGGGGACAUGGGGAAUGAGAUAAGGACCAGAAUCGUACGGGAGGCAGCAGGGGGGAAGAGUGCAGAAUGGGCGGAAGGGGGAGGGAGCAACGCCGCGGGCGGGAUGACGGGGUUGGGGGUGUAAACAGCUGUCGCCUGUGAAGAAGCGGGAGGGACGGGAAUGGGUAAAGAAGCAACGGCUAACUACGUG
rnacentral:rRNA from 1 species